rnacentral:rRNA from 1 species
AGAGUUUGAUCCUGGCUCAGAAUGAACGCUGGCGGCGUGGUUAAGACAUGCAAGUCGAACGGGGUUGACGGUGUAGCAAUACAACGGCAACCCAGUGGCAGACGGGUGCGUAACACGUAAGCAAUCUACCCUCGUGUGGGGAAUAACCUGUCGAAAGACGGGCUAAUGCCGCAUACGGUUGCCCUUCGCCUGAAGGGCAUACUAAAACCCGGGACCGCAAGGCCGGGUGCAUGAGGAGGAGCUUGCGGCCUAUCAGCUAGUUGGCGGGGUAACGGCCCACCAAGGCAAAGACGGGUAGCUGGUCUGAGAGGACGACCAGCCACACUGGAACUGAGACACGGUCCAGACACCUACGAGUGGCAGCAGUUUCGAAUUAUUCACAAUGGGCGAAAGCCUGAUGGUGCGACGCCGCGUGAGGGAUGAAGGUCUUCGGAUUGUAAACCUCUGUCACCGGGGAAGAAUGGCCAUGACCCAAUACGUCAUGGAUUGACUUAACCCGGAGAGGAAGCAGUGGCUAACUCUGUGCCAGCAGCCGCGGUAAUACAGAGACUGCAAGCGUUAUUCGGAUUCACUGGGCGUAAGGGUGCGCAGGCGGUUGCGUGUGUUGGGUGUGAAAGCCCGGGGCUCAACCCCGGAAUUGCGCCCAAAACUACGCGACUAGAGUACCGGAGAGGAUAGCGGAAUUCACGGUGUAGCAGUGAAAUGCGUAGAUAUCGUGAAGAACACCAGCGGCGAAGGCGGCUAUCUGGAAGGUAACUGACGCU